GAUCAACGCUGGCGGCGUGCCUAAUGCAUGCAAGUCGAACGGGGUCGCUUCGGCGGCUUACGUGGCGGACGGGUGAGGAACACGUGGGGAAUCUGUCCCGAGGUGGGGGGUAGCCCGCGGAAACGUGGGGUAAUUCCGCAUGAGCACGCUCCUUUGUAGGGGGAGUGUGGAAAGAUCUUCGGAUCGCCGUUGGGGGGAGCCUGCGGCCGAUUAGCUUGUUGGUGGGGUAAUGGCUUACCAAGGCAGUGAUCGGUAGCUGGUCUGAGAGGACGGCCAGCCACA
rnacentral:rRNA from 1 species